rfam:Pongo abelii chromosome 4.
UUCUGCUUUGGCAGCAUAUAUAUUAAAUUUGAAUGAUACAGAGAAGAUUAGCAUAGCCUGUUGCAAGGAUGACACAAAAUAUAUUCAUAAAGCAUUCCUUUAA